UACGAAGGGGGCUAGCGUUGUUCGGAAUUACUGGGCGUAAAGCGCACGUAGGCGGAUCGAUCAGUCAGGGGUGAAAUCCCAGGGCUCAACCCUGGAACUGCCUUUGAUACUGUCGAUCUGGAGUAUGGAAGAGGCGAGUGGAAUUCCGAGUGUAGAGGUGAAAUUCGUAGAUAUUCGGAGGAACACCAGUGGCGAAGGCGGCUCACUGGUCCAUUACUGACGCUGAGGUGCGAAAGCGUGGGGAGCAAACAGG
rnacentral:rRNA from 1 species